rnacentral:rRNA from 1 species
CGGAGAUAGUGAUCCGGUGCCGGCGCACGGGCGCGGCAUCGCUCAACGGAUAAAAGGUACCCCGGGGAUAACAGGCUGAUCAUUCCCAAGAGUCCAUAUCGACGGGAUGGUUUGGCACCUCGAUGUCGGCUCGUCGCAUCCUGGGGCUGGAGCAGGUCCCAAGGGUUCGGCUGUUCGCCGAUUAAAGCGGCACGCGAGCUGGGUUCAGAACGUCGUGAGACAGUUUGGUCUCUAUCCUCUGCGCUCGUUGGAAUCCUGAGGAGGCCUGCCCAUAGUACGAGAGGACCUGGGUGGACGGACCUCUGGUAUGCCGGUUGUCGCGCCAGCGGCAUGGCCGGUUGGCUACGUUCGGGAGGGAUAACCGCUGAAAGCAUCUAAGCGGGAAGCCUGCUCCAAGAUUAGGAUUCCUUGACGCUCCCCGGAGCGCCUGUAGCCCGCAUGUGGAACACGUGUUCGAUAGGCCGGAGGUGGAAGCCCCGCGAGGGGUGGAGCCGACCGGUACUAACGGGCGAACGCGGCA